ensembl:processed_transcript Gm27208 predicted gene 27208
AAGGGCUCUCUUCUUGUGAGGCCUACAUUCUAGUAUAGAAGACAGGAAGUAAACUAGUGACAACAGAUGGUGGGAAGGGGUUUGAAGGGAUCAAGGCAGGCGGAAGUGAGUGGCUGGGUUAGGAAAGCUGAGCAAGACACUUUCUCUGGGGAGGAACAUGGAAGAGUCAGCUACUACAAAAUGGUUCAAGAAUGGUCUAGGCUGGGCAAGAGUAAUAUUCUUCAAGUUAUGCCAAACCUGGAGUAGGUGGUGGUGGUACUGGUGGAGUUGGGGCAGGGGAGGGGAGAUGGAGGUGUGUCACUAUGCAUAGGAGCCAUAGGAGGGUUGUAAGACCACAGAGAUAACCCCCCAGAACUUUUAGUAAACACUAUAGGUUGCCACCAUGCAAAGAAUGCACUACAGGGAGUUAAGAGUGCAAGCCAGAGCAGCAGGAGCAGGUGUGGGUGGGGCCAGUGCUGCAGUCACCCAGGGAGGUUGCUGGGGUGAGUGUGCACUGCAAACUAGAAGUAUAGUGAACUUGUAGGAGCUUCCUGCCCCGAGUCCUGCCCUGGAGUGCUAGCCAGGGGAUGGGUCAGUGUUACAGCAGGACUGUGGUUGGGGUUUGGGGAUAGGGCAGGCCUGAGCUUAGCAGCCAAGAGCCUUCUGGUGAUGCUCCUGGUGUUAGCCAUUUCUAGGAGAGCCAAGAUCCAACGGUUUAUUUCUAACUGAUGGUGACUUCCUGGGUCAUGAUGGAGGACAAGCAUCUUCCACAGAGAGAAAGGCAUAUUUUGGAGACUAACACAGCCUGCACUUCAGACUUGGGUUCUUGGCCCACACUGUGCCAUCACGAGGGAUGUUGGUUUUAGCAGAACCAGACUACAGUGCCUUUCCCCACACUGUCCUGGCCUUUGACCAGCUGUGAGAUCUGGAAGAGAAGCAGCAUGAGGUAAAGAGAAGCCUGCAGCGGUCGGUCCUCUUUCCUGCAGUGCAGCCUCUGCCCCGUGAUGGAAGCCCAGAGCAUGGAGGAGAUGAAGUGUCAGGAUGAGGAUGAUUCUAUCAGCAUCACCACUGAGGGCUUACUCAAUGGCAGGACCCAAGCUGAACACUUUACAAUUCUCACUUGAUUCCU